rnacentral:misc_RNA from 1 species
UUAAGUUCAGCGGGUCUUCCUACCUGAUCCGAGGUCAACCUUGGGUAAAUAAGGCUUUUAACGGCCGGAACCCGCAGCACGCCCUGAGCGAGAUGUAUUACUACGCUCGGAGUGACUAGCGAGCCCGCCACUGGUUUUCGGGGACUGCCUGGGCAGAUCCCCAACGCCGGGCCACGGGGGCUCGAGGGUUGAAACGACGC